rnacentral:lncRNA from 1 species
CUCCUCUUCUCUUCUUCUUCUUUUUCCUUUUCACACUUUCUCCUCUUCUCUUCUUCUUCUUUAUCCUCCUUUUCCUUCAAACUCAAUAUCCGAAUCUGAUCAAUGAUGGAAGGAUCGAAGUUCCGAAUCUCAUCGAGGAAGGCGGGGUCAGACUGAAGCUCAUCAAGCACGGCGGGGUGGAGUUCCCGAAUCCAAUCAAGGAUUUCAGAAUCGAGAUCGGAUGGCGCAGGUGACGAAACAGACGGCGGAUUUAGAGGACCGUCGACUCUUUCAGAAAUUUCCGAAGAGAAAGCAGGGUCGAAGUUCCGAAUCACAUCGAGGAAGGCAGGGUCGAGAUUCCUAAUCUUAUUGAGCAUAUCGGGGUCGAGUGUCCGAAUCCAAUCAAGGAUUUCACGCUCAAGAUCGGACGGCGCAGGUGACGGAACAGACGUCGUCGGAUUUAGGGGAACUUCGACGCCUUCAGAAAAUUCCGAUUUCCGUCCAGAUUUGAAGUACUGAUAAAUUAAUACCAGCACUGACACUGACACAGGUAGGGCAAUACGCGCCGCUGAAAAAAACAUAGUUUUUGUGCUGAUGGCGGCGGCGGAUGCGGCGGCGACGGUAGCUGAAACUGGGUUGCUAGGUUUUUGCUGUGAACUUGCAACUAGCAACUACAUUAUGGAGGAAACAAACUCUCUCAUAUGAUCAAAACAUACUUUGACCGCCUAAAUCAAAGUCUGCUUUGUCUAGAGGCAUGUUUGGAUUGCUUUUCAAUUCCAAAGCUACUUUAGUAAAAGUGGAGAACCUCAUAAUAAAAGAAUAACUUACAUGGAUCGAAUACACUUUGUAUCAGCGUCUCAGUUUAAGCAAAUAUUGUUACAAUGUAACGAUAUCUUAAAUCGAUGCGUUGAUAUGUAACAUCUAUGUGUAGGUUGAGUACUCCUUUAUAAUAAUACUUAAGAUUUUGAUUCCUUCUCAUUCCGUCUCCCAAUUAAUUUGAUCAAUCGUUCCAAUUUCGAAUUAAUAAACACGUCGUGAAAGUAUUUUUAACUUUCAAACGAAAUUUUCCACUUAUUUCAGGCUGAGUCAACCCUCUUUACUCUCCAUUUUGGUUGUCCUACAAACACGUUACUUAGUAAUGUGGGUUUGCCUUUCACAUUGGUGUUGUAUAUGCAAAUUUAACCAAUGUUGCAUUCAAGAUAGACAAUGCACGUAACGUCGCCGCAAGUUCGAUACGUAACAGACGAUCCCGGCGCAGGUUUUAUCAAGAGAGAUCAACAACCGAAUCAUUUGCAGUACUCGGGAUAGGCAGCGACAACGAAAUUGAAAGGAUAUUCUUGACUAAAGUGUUUUCCGGUAAUAUGACAUGGAUGAGAAAUAAUUUACAGGUUCCAUCUCCCUUAAAUCUCACAACUAUAAAGUCUGUGUCGUCCGGUGAAGAGGUUUGAUACAUUUCUAAGAUUAAAUUACCAAAAGAGAAAGAUUACACAUGUUUGAGUGAUGCAAAUCCUGUGCUCUAGGCAAGCAUUUCAUGCAUAACUUACUGCACGGGCUGCGGCUGACUUGUAACAUCAGUUCCGUUUCUGCUCCCAGCCAUUCCUGCCCCGUUAGUGGUUGCCGAGUCACUGAAAGGAAGUUGAGGAUCAGGACCAGAUGUAGUUGAAGAUGGUAUAUGUAACGGGUGUUGGAGUUUGAAUGAAAUUUCAACUCAAAUGUGGGGUAUUGUUGGAAAUUUGAGUAGUUUGAGUAGAAAUUUCUUUGUCUCACAUUGGCCAUUUCCAAAAGAUUUUAUCACUUUAUAAGGCUUUGUCUUUUAUAGAAAGUGAUUGGAAUAAUAGGUCUGGAGACUAAAAUUGGGCUCACCCUUGGAGUUGGGCUUUGGGAUUUACUAAUUAAUUGGUAAUUAAUUAUAAUUAAUAUAUAUUUUUUUCUGUGUUUUAAAUGCCAUGCAGAUGAAUGUAUAUAUAGUGUGAUUAUACCUGUUCGCAACAUGUAUGAGGAAGGGAUGCAUCUGUUGGGAGACAUCAUAAACAUCAUUUCUGAGAGAACCACAUUAAUAUUCGCCAGAAGUCAAUUUUCCGGUGCUGAAAUUUCUGACUUAGAUCGUUGAAUCCUGAUGAAGCAGACGUCCGUAGAACUACAAGCACUGAAUAGGGGCGAAAUUUUUGUUUCAAGGACAUUGCGGUACGCAAGCCUCGAUCUUUUGUUACUCUGCUUAAUUAAUAUUUCAUCUUGUUGAGUCUCUGGAAUAUAUUUAUUCGUAUUUAUUAUUAGCAUAUUUAUUUUAUUGCGGAUUGUUGACAUAUAUCCAACAACCGGUGGUCAAAUUUACAAGCUGGCCCAAAUUUGCAAAUGCCAUAGCGACUGUGAUGUGUGCAAAUGUUCUGAUCCUGGAUUUUGAAACAAAUUUUGUGUGGUCAAUGGCGUGCAAUCAUGUAAUAUGCGAUCAAACUGAGGCUCUCAUAGAGCGGGAACAAUUGUCCUCACAUAGUAUUUCAUUUGUUUUACCUUAAUGUAUCACAAAGUGAAAACCUUUCGAAGAUCGUAUUUCCGAAAUUAUGAACUCGUAAUAAAGGGCAUGCUCAAAGAAGGGUGAACUUACCGGUCUCAAAGGCAGGCCCUUGUCACUGAGUGCGAUUGGGGCGGCUACUGCAGUGCAGUAUGACUUGUUGGAUGGUGAUAUUUGCAAUUAGAUUUAAACUUGCAAUCCCCCGUUCUUAAGAAAUAAGGUACCGUCUGGUACGCAAACGGGACGGAACGGGAUGGAAUGUGUGAAAUUCCAUCCUUAAUUUGUCGUAUAUUAUAUUAUCGAACAUAUGAUUACCAAAUUGUCCUUGAGGCAUGAACGUUGACUUUCGUUGACCGUCUCGUCGUGACGCGUAUUACUAAUUUUCUUAAUUUAUUCUUAUCGUACUCAUCGAUACGAACGCGUAGGCGCGAACGGAUUUGAAUUUGAAGUUAUAACGAAUAUUUUACAUUACGAAACGUCGAACGUUUUUCGAAUAUUUUGUGUUUCGUCUUUAGUGACCUUGUUUUGUGAGCCAUAGGGACCACAUGUUUUCUUCAUUUUUCCUCGUAACCCCUCUCUUCUCUCUUCCAUCUAUUAUUUUCUGAACACUCACUCUCUCCCUCUCUACACUCUUGGCCAUCUCUCAAACCAACCCUCCUAGAGGGGUUUCACUCAAACAAAUCACACAACAACAACCUUGGUACCACCACCAUCACUCCUAUGAACUCAGAAUUGAAAGAGGACCCUCCAAACUCGCUGCACAGCGUUCACCACUGUUCACUGAGUUUUUCGACGAGUUUCCACCUUUUUUGACGAAGGUAAGCCUCAAAACUUGUCCAAAAGUUGUAGAUCGUGUCUUGGUGUAUGUUUACAGGUAGUUUUGAGAAGUUUCGGUGAUGUUUGGACGUAGGAAUCUCAUGGGGAAAACUUCCAUAGUUUUCCCGGUGAAGACAGCCACUUUCGAGCCAUUUUCCGGCCGAACCACGACGAGUUAGUCAUCAAGAAAGGUACCAUUCUCUUCCUCUCAUCGAGAAGUAUGAUUUUCGUUUUUGAAUCACUCAAUGACGUUGAGUAUUGAAGAAGUUAUGAAUGUUUAAAGUUUACCUAGUUUACGGCGAGUUCUCCGGUUUUCCCACGGACCGGUCACACUUCAAGCCAUUUUCCGGCUAUUUUCGGCAACCAUUGGGCUUCCAAAUAGGUAUAAUCUUGUUCGACACUUUCCUAUCUUCAUUUUAUAUAUUAUGGGUCGAAUUUGGUUAAGAAACACGUGAGUUGAGAAGCUUUGAAAAUUACCCAACUUCCAGCCAAAAAUCCCAAUUUCUAGUAUAAGCUCCGACGGCUCGGCUCGGCUCAGCUUCAGCUGACUUCUCAAUCAGUGUCGACCAUUGACUGUCAACAUUGACUUUUGGGUUGACAUUUUUUGGUUUCGGCUGGGACCCCUCCUAGACUAAUUUCGACGUCCUAAUUCCAAAUAUGCGCUUCUUUUUUCCAAAUUCAAUCAUUUUAGUAGAGUUUUAUUAAUUGGUCCCUUCAUGUGCUUAGGUGCAUUUGUUAGUGGCAACCCCGUCCUCUCUAGUUAAAACGGCUCUUCGGCGAUAGAGUAUCUGUUAGUUGACCCCUUCCAAAAUGCAUGAUUUUAUUACUAGAGAUGCAUACAUGAAAAACAUGAUUUUAUGGCUACAUUUUAUGAAACGUUUAUGAGUAAAUUGGAUUUACGCUUUGUGAAAUAUCAUGCUUUAUCAAAUUUAUGUUUACUGAGAUAUUUAUGAAUAUGAUUUAUUGAUAUGAUGUUUGAGCUAUUGAGCUCCGAUGAGAUAUAUUUUGGAAAGAUUAUGUUCAUGAUUUUAUGUGCUUACUUAGUGAAUGAUACUUAUAUAUGCCUUCGGGCCGGUGAUGAAGGGCCUUUGGGCGAAUGAUACUUAUAUAUGCCUUUCGGCGAGUAUGAAGGGCCUUCGGCCGGGCGAGUGAUACUUAUAUAUGCCUUCGGGCGGGUGAUGAGGGCCUUCGGGCAAAUGAUACUUACAUAUGCCUUCCGGCGAAUGAAAUACCACUACUAAGCACACUAUAUAUGAUAUAUGUUUUACAAAGGUUUUAUGGCAUGCUAGGGUUUUCGGAAAACCUAUUACUUAUUAUGCUAUAUGAGUUUCUAAAACUAGGGUUUAGUACGUUAAAGAAUAACUGUUUUAGUAUUACAUAUAUAUAAACUUAGUCCACUCAUGUUUUUUGUUUUGAGCCCCCUUAGGACUUAGGAACAAGGCAUACGACCCAAGCUACAAGGCAUUCCCAUAUCGGUGAAUUUGUGUCCUCUCUGCGUAGGACAUCUCUUGUAAUCGCACCUUCUGAUAUCCCUUCCACUUGUAUUUCGAAUUAGUAGUAAUACUCUGAACAUGUCAUGCAUUAUUACUUUUAAAUUGUUGGCAGUGAACUAUUAUUAUAUUUUCUAUUAAGGUUUGUACUUGAAUAUUACAUUGCGUGGUUAAGCACUAAAUUUAUAUGCAUGUUUCACAUGUUCUUGGCAUAUGCAUUCAUUAAAUGGCUUGCGUCACCCUUGAGUGUCGGCGAGCACGUGGCCAUCCCGUUGGCCUUUGGACACCGGGAUCGGAGCGUAUCAAAAUGGGACGGAACGGGACAGUUGUUCCAUUCUGCAUUUGCAGCUUCCGAGUCACAGAAAGGAAUCUGAUAAUGACGGAUGGUCAAAUCUACAGGUUGGCCCAGAACUGCAAACGCCAAAGCGGCUGUACUCUGUGCAAAUCUUCUGACCCUGGAUUGGAAACAAAUUUAGGAUGAAAGUUUAUGCAAUUGAUGGCAUGCAAUAACGAAGCACAAUAACUGAUCAAACCGAGUAUUUCAUAUAGGAGAGGCAAGAGAGGAACUGUUAGUUAAGAAUCCUUCUAUUUUGAAAGAGACAUCCAUAACUUUCAUUACAAAUUAUUUUUCGCAAGGUCAAAUGAGUCUCAGUAAUAUACAUUUUCUUGGUACAUUGCUAAUUAUCCAAGGUACACUAAAAUUUGCAAAAAGACUUCAAUUCCAAUAUUAUCCCAUCACUUAAUCAAAAUAAAAAGUUUGAAUAACAAGUGGUGGUUAGUUAUUAAUGCUGUCAAGGGUGAAAAAAUAUGCACAUUGGCAAACGGUGAACUCAUUGGCCCAAAAGAGAAUAACUUAGAACUUAAAAACCAACCUUCUGUGCUACUUGUAUCACAAAGUGAAAAACCUUUUUGAGAUCAUAAUCCAUAGUUACGAAUUCUGUAUAAAAAGAACAGUUCGAAGAAGAGUGAACUUACUGGUCUUAAAGGGAGGCCCCUGUCACUGAGUGCACAUGAGGGGGUCGCUGCAGUCUGAUUUUUUGGAUGGUGAUAUUGGCAAUUAGAUUUAUUAUCACAAUCCCCUGUUUGAGCGAAAUAGAAGCAAACAGGUUGCCCAGGUCGUUCUGGUAAUUCUUCAGCUUGCGUCUGCUGUGCAUAUUGUCCGUAGUAGUUGGUUUCAGUCACCGAGUUGUUCGUAACAUAUGGUGGAGGUGCAGGCAUGUUUCUAUGAACAUAUGGUGGAGGUGGUGGAGGUGGUGGAGGUGGAGGUGGAGGUGGAGGUGCAGGCAUGCUUGGUAGAUAUGCUGGAGCCUAAACAUGUUUUGGCCAAUACAAAAUUAGAGAGAAAAGCAUGUUUUUGAAAAUGCAAACGAGAACAGCAGUAAUUCUAUAAAUUCUACAAAAAAAAGGGGCUAUUCUUACUUAUACCCACAAACUAAUACGGAACCCAAAUAAGAAGUCUAGAUGUACCGAUGUGAAAAUGUAAGCAUAUUACCACAACUGAUGUAGACAACAAUUUGUUAUCAAUAUUCAAAUCUUCAAGAAUUUAACUUCUUUACAAAGAAUAUUAGAAUAUCACAAUAAGUCCUUAAUGUAGGACCAUAUUAUUAUUUUUAUGAGCCGAACAUGAAUAAAAAGGGCAUGAGAAGAAAAAAAAAAAAAAGAGGUCAAAACACAAAAAGAUCCGACUAUUAUCCCAAAAGAGACGGUAAUUCGCAUAUCAAAAAGUGAUGAGAGUUAUUUAAAUUUUAAACCCAAGACUUUAAUAAGGGAGUGAUGGCUAAAGUACCUGAUAACCAUUCCAUUCUGUAGUUUCAGAAUUAAUCCCUUGAGAAUUUGGCAGACCUUGUAAUGAUGCAGGCCUACCAUUACCAUACGCGGAUUGCGGGUGAGAUUCUCCAGCAGCUGUAGGAUCAGGGUGGUUAAACUUGCAGUUUAUUCCGUACUUGCAGGUCCCAGUUCGCAUAUAGUAGGAACAAUCUUUCUCCCCCUGUAAUACGUUAAAACAAUUAUUCAGCAAACAUAUGGACACAUUAAAUUGGUCCAAAAGAAUAAGAAAAUAAGCAAAGAUAAAAUCUUAAACCUUAAACAUCAUGAAUAGAUAGAAAUUCAUUCCUCAAAUUUUUACAGAUCAAAUCUAGAGCUUAUACCGGACGAAUUGGCAGGUCCGAAAAAUUAAGUUCCAGAGCUGGAGCUACAGAAGGUACCCCUAUACGUCGUCCUGGGCUGAUGUAAUACUGCAACAAGCUUAAGUGUUGUAUUAAGAUCGUGAAACUGUUACUAGGCCACCACGUAGCACAGAUUUGAAUACGAGGGUACAAAGGGAAAGAAAUGUCUUUGACAUUUAAAAACAUAAUUGUAAUCCUGUAUAAAAAGGAAAAUGUAAUUGUAAUGUAACAGCAUACAAUUGUGAAAACACAUCGACUAUAAGUUGAUCACGUUCAAGACCCUCAUCAUUCUAUAGUUAGCUACAAGAUGAAAAAGGUUUAAGCUUGUAUAUUCACUAGCGCAUUCUAACCAACUAGCUUUCAGAUAACCAUAUCGAAAAACCCCAUCGUCAAAACACAACAUAGUACUUGAAAUCAAAUAUGCGAAGUAAAACAAAACUUAAUGAUGUAAAACAUGAAAACCAAGCAAUUGCAGUAAAAACCAGAACUUCGGAUAGAUAAUAACCUUGCUUUCGGUCUGGUCUUGCUUCUCUUCCAACUCUUCCCUCUGCUUUGCCUUGUCCUUCGACACCUUCAAAUCAAUAUGAUAAAGUUCAAAACACCAAGAAACACAAAGUGAGCACCAACGACACAAUUAUUUCCUGCAUUCAUACAAGGCCAGAUGCAUUAAUGUCUCAAAUACUAAAUGCAGGCCCAAAGUCCCGAUUUGUUUCAGAUACAUUUCACCACAACGAUGCACGUGAAAGAAAAACAUCAUCUUUAACAAAUAAAUGCGGAACAAGAGAGAUAUACCUGCUUGUUUUUCCCUAUCCGAGGGUGAUUAUACUUGCAAUUCGAUCCGAACUUACAAAUGCCAGUCCUCAGAUAGUUCCAACAGUCUCCAAGCCUCAAUGGGUACUGAUCCCUUCUGCUACUCUCCUCAACAACCUCCUCCCCCACCUCACCACCAUUCUCAUUCCCUCCUCCGCUGCCACUGCUGCUACUGCUUUCGCUCUUUUCCCUCUCUCUCUCCUUCUCCUCUUCUUCUUUUUCCUCAUUUUCCUUCAAACUCAAUUUUCGAAUCCCAUCAACGAUGGAAGGAUCGAAGUUCCGAUCCUCAUCCAGGAAGGCGGGGUCGAAUUGCUGAAUCUCAUCGAGCACGGCGGGGCCGAGUGUCCCAAUCCAAUCAAGGAUUUCAACAACGGACGGCUCAGGAGACGGAACGGACGGCUCAGGAGACGGAACAGACGGGGGAUUUUGAGGAACGUCUACGCUUUCAGAAAUUUCCCAAGGGAAAGCAGGGUCCAAGUUCCGAAUCUCAUCAACGAUGGAAGGAUCGAAGUUGCGAAUCUCAACGGCGGGGUCGAAUUGCUGAAUCUCAUGGAGGAGGGCAGGGUCGCGAUUCCUAAUCCUAUUGAGCACGGCGGGGUCGAGUCUCCGAAUCCAAUCAAGGAUUUCACGCUCGAGAUCGGACGGCGCAGGUGACGGAACAGACGUCGGAUUUAGGGGAACUUCGGCGCCUUCAGAAAAUUUCGAUUUUUGUCCGGAUCUGAAGUACUUAUAAAUUACGACCAGCACUGACAGUGACACCGGUAGGAGGACACGCGCCGCUGUGAACAUAGUUUUUGUGCUGAUGGCGGCGGCGGAUGCGGCGGCGACGGUAGCUGAUAGGACUCCAGUUCACAGAGGAAGAAAUAAAAGGAAGACAGCUAAGUUAGGUAGAAAAGUUAAGGCAUUUUCAUUUCAUAAUCCGAGGAGAUACAAUUGGGGGUGCUUAUAUAUAACCCAUUAGCCAACACAAACAAAAGGCUCAAGUGCUGAGUCAUCCUCUAAUAACUACUCUCACUACAAUACAGGAUAGUAAUAAAAGGUAAAGAAGGUGGACCCGAUAAGGUUCUAACAUGGCUCUCCCCCCUUAACAAGCCUGUCCGCAGGCGUUAAACCCAGGAAAACGAGUUAAGAUAGAGUCGGCAUCCUCCCACGUAGCAUCAUGCUCCGGAAGACCUUCCCAUUUAAUGAGCCAACGGGUGAUUGCUCGAUUGUCUUGCUUGAACAUGCCACGCUGAAGUAUCUUUUCUGGGGUCCAGAUGAAGGCACCAGUCAAGGAAACUGGGGGAAGAGUUGGUGAUGCAACUGUAUAAGCACCCACAUUGGGUUUAAGUAAGGAGACAUGGAAGGUAGGAUGAAUGCGAGAGUGAGGAGGCAGGUCCAGAGUAUAUGCCACUUGACCCACGCGAGCAAGCACCUUGAACGGUCCAUAGUAGCGAGGAGCCAAUUUAGGGCAAUGCGUCUUAGACACUGAUGUCUGGCGAUAGGGUUGAAGCUUGAGAAAGACCCAAUCCCCAACUGAAAAGGUUCGCUCCGAACGAUGUUUAUUAGCCUGCUGGCGCAUCCGAUGUUGAGCGAGGUGCAGGUUCUCCCGCAAUUGCCUGAGCAGGGCAUCGCGAUCUCGAAGGGUGACAUCAACCAGAUGAACCAGAUAAGAGCCAGGAAGAUAGGAGGACACCGUUGGUGGUGGGUAGCCAUAGACUGCCUGAAAAAAGGUCAUUUGAAUGGCAGCUUGAUAGGUAGUAUUAUACCACCACUCGGCCCAAGGAAGCCACUGUAUCCAAUCAUUGGGUUUGUCCCUUACAAAACUGCGCAGAUAUUGUUCAAGGGUGCGAUUGAGCACUUCGGUUUGGCCAUCGGAUUGUGGAUGAUACGCCAAGCUCUUGCAAAGAGUGGUGUGCUGCUGUUUAAAGAAGGCAAUCCAAAAAUCACUAAUAAAGACUGGAUCCCGAUCACUCACUAUGGAAGCCGGCAUGCCAUGAAGGCGAAAGACUUCGUGAAUAAAGAUAUCAGCGAUUUUGGCCGCCGAGUAUGGGUGUUUGACCGGAAUGACGAUCCACUACCACGAAAAUAACGUUGCGCCCAUGGACCGAAGGAAGGCCUUCAAUGAAAUCCGUGGCAAUGUCGUGCCAUACGUUGGUGGGAAUGGACAGAGGUUGCAAGGGGCCUGGUGGUUUAAUCGUCUCAUACGUUGUACACUGGCAGGUGUCACAGGCAGCCACAAACUUUUUAACAUCUUUUUUUAGCCCCGGCCAAUUGAAAUUGAGUGUUAACCUCUUGUAAGUGCGUAGAAAGCCCGAGUGUCCCGCAGAUGGUGAAGAAUGAAACUCAGCAAGGAGGCGUGCUCGCCAAGGGGAAGAGGCAGCAACAAAAAACCCCCUUCUUAUAGUAUAAGAGAUCGCCGUGGAGUUUAAAUAAAGCAUGACGCUCCAGGUCCUGUUGCAAGGCCGCCAACAGUGAAGAGGCCUGAGGAUCAGUGGCAUAGUCUGCUUGUAUCGCAGCGAUACAAUCAAAAAGAGGCUGAGAUAGUCCCAUUAACCCAAGAACCUCAGGACGUCGGGAAAGAGCAUCAACAGCGGCGUUCGAAGUGCCCGGCCGAUAUUCCAGCGUAUAGUUAUAACCAAGUAACUUCAACAACCACCUUUGUUGAGUUGAAGUAGUGAUGCGCUGAUCAAGGAAAUAUUUCAAAGUCUGGUGGUCAGUAAGGAUCCGGAACUGAUGGCCUAUCAAAUAAGAACGCCAUUUUUGGACCGCAAAGACCACCGCCAACAUCUCCUUAUCAUACACCGAAAGAGCCUGGUGUUUUGGAGCUAAAGGUUUGUUAAGGAACCCAAUGGGAUGACCCUCAUGUGAUAAGACGACGCUAAUACCACUAUCAGAGGCAUCGCACUUAACCGUAAAUGGUUUGGUGAAGUCUGGAAGAGCGAGGACCGGUGUGGAAGACAAUGCCUGUUUGAGGGCCGAGAAGGCCUGAGCAACGUUGGUGGACCAUUGGAAACUGUCAGUGCGUAAUAAGUCCGUAAGUGGUCGUGCUAUUAUGCCAAAAUGAUGGACAAAUUUGCGAUAGUAGCCUGCGAGACCCAAAAACCCACGAAGGGCCCGAACAGUGGUUGGUGUCGACCAAUCUGAAAUCGCAGAAAUUUUAGAGGAAUCCACGACCACCCCUGUGACGGAUAUAAUGUGUCCCAAAUACGCAAUUGAAGGCUGGCCAAACAGACACUUCGAAUGCUUCAAUUUGAAUUGAUAAGUGCGUAAGAGCUCAAACACCUUAGCUAAAUGUGAGACAUGUUGUUCCACAGAGGCACUGAAAACCAAUAUAUCAUUAAAGAAAACUAUCACUGACUUAUGCAGCAAGGGCUUCAGAAUGGAAUUCAUUAAUGCCUGGAAGGUGGCUGGAGCAUUGGUCAGGCCGAAUGGCAUGACCGUGAACUCAUAGUGCCCCUCAUGUGUUCGGAAAGCGAUUUUAGGAAUGUCCGGUUCAUGCAUCCGUAUCUGGUGAUACCCCGAACACAAGUCGAGCUUCGAAAAUAUAACAGCACCCCGUAACUCGGCCAAUAAUUCAUCAAUAAUAGGGACUGGAAAACGGUCUUUGAUAGUGACAGAAUUCAAAACCCGAUAGUCCACACAAAACCUCCAUGUAUUAUCCUCUUUGGCCACUAAGAGCGUCGGUGAAGAAAAUGGGCUGUGACUGGGCUUGAUAAUACCCGUAGCUAACAUUUCCUCCACCUGCUGUUCAAGUUCAGCUUUUUGAGCAUGUCCAUAAUGAUAGGGUCUCAUAUUCACGGGGCCAGUUCCCGGAAGCAGAGAAAUCCGGUGAUCAAUGAGCCGGUGAUGGGGUAGGGUAGUGGAGGCUUAAAAAAUGUCAGAAUACUGGAGUAGUAAGGCUUGAAGGAUGUCGGGUAGUGGUGCUGGAUGAUAUAACCCUGUUGGUAAAUUGGAGAUCUGCGCCAUAAUAUGGAAAGGGUUCCUAAGGGAAGGAUCCAAGGAAGACAAUGGAGGUAUGGCCCCGGCUGAAUGGGCUGAAGAACCUACUAGACGAUAAUUGGUGCCCUGCACAGUGAACUCUAUGACUUUCAGAAGGAAGCCAAUAAGGCCCAAUGUUUCCAACCAAUCCACUCCAAAAACCAUGUCACACCCGACUACUGCCAGAAGGUGGAAGUCAGCACGGAAGUCAUACCCCCGAAGGUGAACAGAGACAUUGCGAGCCAUACCCUUUGUGCGAAAGUAGCGGCCCGUGGCCACCAUCACGGCCUCAUUGGAAGUUGAAUCAAUUGGAAGACCUAAACGGGCAGCGACCUGAGGAUUAAGAAAACUCUGGUCAGCCCCAGAAUCGAUGAACACUUGAAUCCGAGUAUGGUGGAGGACGCCUUCCAAAUGCAUAGCUCGUCCCCGGGAACGCUUUGUAGCCGAGAUGGCAUUGAGAGCAAUAGGUGGCGCCGGUUGGUCCCCUAUGGAAGGGUCAAGUGGGUUGGAGGUCUUGGGUUUCGACUGGAAGUCAGAGAAAUCCUCAUCCGCCAAAAGCAUGAGGAUGUGGGAUUGCCGACAACGAUGACCCGGCCAAUACUGCUCAUCACAAUUAAAACAGAGCCCAUGUUCCCUCCGUGCGCGCAUUUCGGCUUGGGCGAGGCGUAAUAUGGGCUUAGGGGGAAAAGUCGGUGUGGCGGCCGGUAAGGAACGGGAAGCAGGAGUGGACAUGAAGGGCACAACGGUGGAAUGAAAGAAAGGUUUAGAGGGGGUGGAGGAGGACCGAGGAAAAUGGUGUAUGGUCGUAGGACAGAAUGGAAGGACCGGCUACAAACGGGGUAGUGCGUGAGGGAGAAGGGGAAGUGCUCCAAGUGGGUAGGGGAAGGGUGGUGUGGGCAAUGGAAAAGGGCCCGCAUCCGAGCGAAACCGGAAUGGAACCAAUCAGAAUCUAGGGACUGGGUUGGGUUGUGGGUGGGUGUUUUAAAGAUCGAAUCUCCUCGAUGAGGGUCUGCUGAAAUUUACUUUGUUGAGUCUGGUGAACAUUUAGGCUGGCGAGAGACUGUUGCAGAUCCGCCAUAUGAUGCUGAAAAUCAUCUUGACGGAGGUUUAUCAGCGUCAUUGCCUCUUGGAAUCCAUGUAGUUGGGUGAGGAUUUGCUGCUGCUGAAAGUCCAGGUCAAGCUCCGCCUCGGAAACCUCGGCCACCGUCACAGAGGCCUUGCUCUUGCCCAUGGACGCCCAACUAGGCUCUGAUACCAAUUGAUAGGACUCCAAUUCACAGAGGAAGAAAUAAAAGGAAGACAGCUAAGUUAGGUAGAAAAGUUAAAGCAUAUUCAUUUCAUAAUCCGAGGAGAUACAAUUGGGGGUGCUUAUAACCCAUUAGCCAACACAAACAAAAGGCUCAAGUGCUGAGUCAUCCUCUAAUAACUACUCUCACUACAAUAAAGGAUAGUAAUAAAAGGUAAAGAAGGUGGACCCGAUAAGGUUCUAACAGUAGCUGAAACUGGGUUGCUAGGUUUUGUUGUGAACUUGCAACUAGCAACUACGUUUAUGGAUGAAACAAAUUCUCUCAUAUCUGCUUUGUCUAGAAGCUGCUUUAGGAAAAGUGAUUCUGUAUUAAUUAAUAAAACACUCGUUAACCAAAAUCAUGUGAAAUUAUCAAUUUAAUCCUUUAAUUAAAACAUAACAUAAAUAAGAAAUAUAAGACAUAAAUGUAAUUUCAUAUUACUAAAUUUUACUGUUUUUUUUUUCAAAGCCUCACCUACAUACACUCCCACAUUCUCUAUCACUCUCUUCCACUCUCUUCCACUCUCCUUCUAUUUGAAAAACCCAAAAAAAAAAAAAAAAAAAUUCUCACACUUUGUGUGCGCCCAUAUGCUAGUCUCAUAAUAACAGAAUGACUUACAUGGAUCGAAUACACUUCCAAGCAGUCGCUGGUUUAGAAAAUAUUGCUACAAUGUGACGAUACUUAAAACAAUAAUGCGUUGACAUAUAAGAUCUAUGUGUGGGCUAAGUCCUUCAUAAUAAUACUCAGAAUUUUGAUUCCUUCUUAUUCAUCUCUUGAUUAAUUUGAUCAAUCAUUCCAAUUCCUUCUUAUUCAUCUCCUGAUUAAUUUGAUCAAUCAUUCCAAUUUCGAAUUAGUAACCGCGUCGUAAAAAUAUUUUUAACUCUCAAACAAAAUUUCCCAGUUAUUUCAGGCUGAGUCAACUCUCUUUACUCUCCAUUUUGGUUGUCCUAGGGUUUUUUUUUUUUUUUGGGUCAAAGGUUGUCCUAGGUUCACUCGUAUGACCUAGGUUUGCUAGUCCUAGGUUCUCCAUCACCUUCACAGCUCCACUCAGAUGCCGUGACCUACAAACAUGCUAUUUUGUAAUAUGGGUUUGUCUUUUAGCUUGGUGUUGUAUAUGCAAAUAUAACCAGUGUUACAUGCAAGAUAGACAAUGCACGUAACGUCGCCGCAAGUCCGAUACAUAACAGAAGAUCCCGGCACAUGUUUUAUCGAUCGAGAUCAACAACCGAAUCAUUUGCGAUACUCGGGAUAGGCAGCGACAACGAAAUUGAAAGGAUAUUCUCGACUAAAGUACUUUCCGGUUAUAUGACAUGGAUGAGAAAUAAUUUACAGGUUCCAUUUCCCUUAAAAUCUCACAACUAUAAUGUUUGUGUCGUCCGGUGAAGAGGUUUGAUACAUUUUUAAGAUUGAAUUACCAAAAGUGAGAUUACACAUGUUUGAGUGAUGCAAAUCCUGUGCUCUAGGCAAGCAUUUCAUGCAUAACUUACUGCACGGGCUGCGGCUGACCUGUAACAUCAGUUCUGUUUCUGCUCCCAGCCAUUCCUGCCCCGUUAGUAGUUGCCGAAUCGCUGAAAGGAAGUUGAUGAUCAGGACCAGAUGACGGGUGGUCAAAUUUACAAGCUGGCCCAAAUUUGCAAAUGCCAUAGUGACUGUAAUGUGUGCAAAUGUUCUGAUCCUGGAUUUUGAAACAAAUUUUGUGUAAUCAAUGGCGUGCAAUCAUGUAAUAUGCGAUCAAACUGAGGCUCUUAGAACAGAGGGAAGAGAACAAUUAGUUAAUAAUAUUUAUGAUUCGGGAACAAUUGUCCUCGCAUAGUAUUUCAUUUGUUUUACCUUCAUGUACCACAAAGUGAAAACCUUUCUAGGAUCAUAUUUCGAAAUUAUGAACUCGUUAUAAAAGGCAUGGUCAGAGUAGGGUGAACUUACCGGUCUCAAAGGCAGGCCCUCGUCACUGAGUGCGAUUGGGGGGCCUACUGCGGUGAGUUUUUGGAUGGUGAUAUUUGCACUUAGAUUUAAACUUGCAAACACCCUUUCUUAAGAAAUAACUGCAUAAGGGUUGGCCAGGUCGUUCUGGGAACUCUUCAACUUGAUUCUGGUGUGGAUGUUGCCUGUAGACGUUGGUUUCAGCCACUGAGUUGUUCAUCAUGUAUGGCGGACGCGCAGGCAUGCUUCUUUCGGGUGCAUAUGCGGAAGCCUAAAAGUUCACAACGAAACACAAUAGGGAUGCCAAUUAACAAUAGAGACCUCACAAACUGAUAAGGAUGCCAAUUGACGAGUUGUGAAUGCAGAGAUAUGAACUAAAAAAAUUACUAUAACUGUUGCAGACAGCAAUUUGUCAAACUAUUGGGAACUUUAAGUCCUGGUUAUAUAUAAAAAUUCAUAGCAAAUGUGGUCGAGCAAAUUAUUAAUUUAUGAGCCAGAAAUGAAUAAAAAGAGAAUGGCUGAAAAGUAUAAGAAAGUUAAACAUACAAAAUGAUCGUGAUCUCUUAUCCCUGAUAAAGUAUUAACUGGUAUAUCAAAGUGAUCACAGUUAUUCAAACACGAGACUCUGAGAUGGGAAAGUUAAAUAAAAGAACCUGAUAACCAUUCCAUUCUGAAUUUUGAGAAGAAACUACUUGAGGUGGUGGAAUCAUCAGUGUCGAGUAAACCGGAUCCUCAUUCAAUGGCCUUGGUGCAGACCAUGGUGCCACUGUUGAUUGUGAUGCACCUUGUAAAGAUGCAGGACCACCAUUACCAUAUCCAGAUGGGGGAUCAGAUCCUCCUGUAGCUGUCGGAUCAGGGUGGUUAAACCUGCAGUUCGAUGCAUACUUGCAGGAGCCAUUUUGCAUAUAGUACGGACACUCCCUUUUACCCUGUAACAAUUAAAAAUAAAUAUUCGCAGUAACUGACAGAAACAUAAUAAAUAGGUCCAACAAACCAAGAAAAUAAGCAAAGAUAAAAUCUUAAAAAUCAUGAAUAGAUAUUCAUUUCUCAAAACUUAGCAAGUUAGAUAUAAAGUGUAUACCGGUCGAAUUGGCAGGCCCAGAAAGUUAAGCUCAAGCUUCCCUUUGCUGUGGCUGUAUCUGCAAUUUUCCCCAUGCUUACAUCCACCCGACCUCAAGUAAUACUGCAACAAGCUCAAGUGUUAUCUCAUCAUGAAACUGUUACUAGUCUGCCGUACACAUUGCAGAUAUUUGGAUAUAAGGCACAAAGAGAAGAAUUGUUACUGACAUCCGAAAGCAUAAUUGGAAUUACUGUAUAAAGGAAUACAAGAAUGUCAUGAAAAAAGCAUACAAUUUCAUGAAAACCCAUCCGGUGGAGAUUGUCUAACUACUCAUCAACUUGCUAUAAUUUAAUCAAACGGAUGAAAUGCCUCCCCAUACAACAUAAACAAAUAAAGUUCAAAAUCUCAGGAUUAUGCACUAGCCACAAGAUAAAAGUUUUUAGCUUUUUGUUUCGGUUAUGCAUGCCAACCUAAUUUUCAGAUAAGCGGACUCAGAAAACCCCACCAUCAUAACAAUGACCGCUAGGAUACCAAAUACAUAAACUAAAACAAAAUAUAACGAUUUGUGAGACGUUGAUCAAAUAACUGCACUAAAAACCAGAACUUCAAAUAUAAAAUUUCUGUGAAUCACAACAAUAAUAACCUUGCAUUCCGUCUGGCUUGGAUUCUCUGCCGACUCGUCCAUAUCCUUGACGCUUUCCUUGGGCACCUUCAAUAAGAACAAGUCAAAACACCAACAAAAAUGAAAGAUGAGGCCACGAAAACACGAAAAGUCUCAAUCUUUCUACCAUAAACAUACAUAUGCAGAUGCUAAGAGCAACUCCAGCCCCCAACACUCUAAGCUGGGCAACAGCCCAUUUUUUCCCCUCCCUCCCCAAAAACCCAGUCCACCCCAAUCAAUCCGCUGGGCUCCGGGGAAGGCCAGCAAGCUGCCCAGCAGAAAAUCGGCUGACUCAAUACCCGGCCUACUUGACGCCAUGCUCACGUCAUCGAUUUUUUAUUUUCUCCCGACGGAUUUCUCCCUCCCCUGCGACGACCAUCGGGAAACCUGGAGAAGGUUUGGCGAACCCAGCCUUCGAGGGAGGUCGAGCCUUCGCCGUCGCCGUCGAGAACCCAGCAUCCACAUCGUGCUGCUCGCCUCCACAUCCCCAAAUCCCAGCCUUCGAGGGGAAAAUUGUGGAAAUUCCAGGAACAAAGAAGAAGAAAUGGAUCGGAGGACUGCUCCUUGGAAGGGAUCGGGAAAAGGUGGGAGACUGGGAGAGUUUCCAGGAAGAACGAAGAAGAAGAAAGAAGAAAUAGGAAAAUAAAAAAUAAAAUUAACAAUAACAUAUUUUUAUUUUUAUUAAUUUUUAAUUAUCAAUUACCAGAACAAUUAUUUUACGAGGCAGAGAUAUACUCUAUUGAUUACUAUUUAUUACAGUCAAUUAUUCUUCAUUUGAGUAGAUUAAAUUUACUAUUGCCUAGCAAGAUUUUUAGGAUGGACUUGCUUUAAAAAGAAUAUGCGCAUUAAAUUGUCAAUAUAAUAAUUAAAAACAAAAUUAAAAUAAUAAAAUUAAGCAUGUUGUAACUAAUUUUUUUCCGUAUUUACGAAAAGAAUUAAUUUUAUUUGUUCAAAAAAAAGAGUUUAAAUUUUUUAAGAUGCCUCAUAUUAAUUAAAUUUCUGACUUGGUUGCUACGGAAAUGCUAAAUGCGGAACAAGAGAGAUUUACCUGCUUGUUUUUCCUUCUCCGAGGGUGAUUAUUCUUGCGAUUCGACCCGAACUUACAAUUGCCAGUCUUCAGAUCGUACCGACAGUCCCCACCUUCCGGCCUCAAUGGGUACUGAUUCCUUCUGCUACUCUCCCCAACAACCUCCUCCUCCACCCCACCGCCAUUCUCAUUCCCUCCUCCGCUGCCGCAGACGCUGCUGCUGCUUUCGCUCUUUUCCCUCUCUCUCUCCUUCUCAUUUUCCUUUUCCUUUUCAGUCUCUCUCUCCUUCUCCUCCUCUUCUGCUUUAUCCUCCUUUUCCUUCAAACUCAAUUUCCGAAUCCCAUCAACGAUGGAAGGAUCGAAGCUCCGAUCCUCAUCGAGGAAGGCGGGGUCGAAUUGCUGAAUCUCAUCGAGCACGGCGGGGCCGAGUGUCCCAAUCCAAUCAAGGAUUUCAACAACGGACGGCUCAGGAGACGGAACAGACGGGGGAUUUUGAGCAACGCCUACGCUUUCAGAAAAUUCCGAAGGGAUAGCAGGGUCCAAGUUCCGAAUCUCAUCAACGAUGGAAGGAUCGAAGUUGCGAAUCUCAACGGCGGGGUCGAAUUGCUGAAUCUCAUGGAGGAGGGCAGGGUCGCGAUUCCUAAUCCUAUUGAGCAAGGCGGGGUCGAGUGUGUCGAGUGUCCGAAUCCAAUGAAGGAUUUCAUGGUAGCGAUCGGAUGGCGCAGGAGACGGAACAGACGUCGGAUUUAGCGGAACUCCGACGCCUUCAGAAAAUUCCGAUUUCUGUCUGGAUUUAUAGUAAUUAUAAAUUGCGACCAGCACUGACAGUGACAACGGUAGGAGGAAACGCGCCGCUGACAACAUAGUUUUUGUGCUGAUGGCGGCGGCGGAUGCGGCGGCGACGGUAGCUGAAACUGGGUUGCUAGGUUUUGCUGUGAAUUUGCAACUAGCAACUACAUUAUGGAGGAAACAAACUCUCUCAUAUGAUAAAAAUAUAUUUUGACUGGCCAAGUCAAAGUCUGCUUUUUUCAGAGGCAUGUUUGGAUUGUUUUUAAAUUCCAAAGCUGCUUAUUUUCCAAAAAAAAACAUAAAACUGCUUUAGGAAAAGUGACUUAGAUGUGAAGACUAAUUAGCAACAUAGAGAGUAUCUCAAUCUCUUGCUAUCUAUCCUUCCAUCAAUGUGGGACUCAUUCUCAACAUACCCCUUCACGUGUGGUAAAUUUUCAAACCUAGCCCAAUCAUGUGAGACACAUUCUCAACAUGCCCUCCCAUGUGAUGAAUUUUCAAACCUAAUACGUGAAUAACACAACGGGAUGACGUGAAACGCGUGUGGCUAUUUGACUUCACAUGUGGGACAACAUGUUCUGAUACCAUGAAAAAAUCCCGGCACAGGUUUUAUCGACAAUGCACGUAACGUCGCCGCAAGUUCGAUACAUAACAGAAGAUCCCGGCACAGGUUCUAUCGAGCGAGAUCCACAACCGAACCAUUUGCGGUACUCGGGAUAGGCAGCGACAUCGAAAUUGAAAGGUUAUUCUCGGCUUCAGUGUUUUCCAGUAAUAUGACAUAGAUGAGAAAUAAUUUACAGGUUCCAUUUCCUUUAAAAUCUCACAACUAUAAAGUCUGUGUCGUCCGGUGAAGAGGUUUGAUACAUUUCUAAGAUUAAAUUACCAAAAGAGAAAGAUUACACAUGUUUGAGUGAUGCAAAUCCUGUGCUCUAGGCAAGCAUUUCAUGCAUAACUUACUGCACGGGCUGCGGCUGACUUGUAACAUCAGUUCCGUUUCUGCUCCCAGCCAUUCCUGCCCCGUUAGUAGUUGCCAAAUCACUGAAAGGAAGUUGAUGAUGAGGACCAGAUGUAGUUGAAGAUGAUAUAUGUAACGGGUGGUCAAAUUUACAAGCUGGCCCAAAUUUGCAAAGGCCAUAGCGACUGUAAUGUGUGCAAAUGCUCUGAUCCUGGAUUUUGAAACAAAUUGUGUGAUCAAUGGCGUGCAAUCAUGUAAUAUGCGAUCAAACUGUGGCUCUUAGAACAGAGGGAAGAGAACAAUUAGUUAAUAAUAUUUAUGAUUCGGGAACAAUUGUCCUCGCAUAGUAAUUCAUUUGUUUUAACUUCACGUAUCACAAAGUGAAAACCUUUCUAAGAUCAUAUUUCGAAAUUAUGAACUUGUUAUAAAUGGCAUAGGGUGAACUUACCGGUCUCAAAGGCAGGCCCUUGUCACUAAGUGCGAUUUGGGGGGCUACUGCAGUAUGAGUUUUUGGAUGGUGAUAUUUGCAAUUAGAUUUAAACUUGCAAUCCCCCGUUCUUAAGAAAUAACUGCAGAAGGGUUGGCCAGGUCUUUCUGGGAACUCUUCAACUUGAUUCUGGUGUGGAUAUUGCUUGUAGAUGUUGAUUUCAGCCAGAGAGUUGUUCAUCAUGUAUGGCGGACGUGCAGGCAUGAUUCUUUCUGGUACAUAUGCUGACGCCUAAAAGUUCACAACGAAAAACAAUAGGGAUACCAAUUAACAAAAAGGGACCUCACAAACUGAUAGAUGGCAAUUAAUGACUUGUGACCGCAGAGAUGAACUAAAUAAAUUACUACAAAUGUUGCAGACAGCAAUUUGUCAAACUAUUGGGAACUUUGAGUCCUGGUUAAAGAACAAAAUUCAUGGCAUAUUUGCACGACCAAAUUAUUAAUUUUACGAGCCAAAAAUGAAUAAAAAGAGCACGGCCAGAAAAGUAUAAGAAAGUUAAACAUACAAUCGUGAUCUCAAAUUCCGGAUAAAGUGUAAAUUGGUAUAUCAAAGUGAUCAACGUUAUUCAAACCCGAGACUAUAAUAUGGGAAAGUUAAAUAAAAAGUACCUGAUAACCAUUCCAUUCUGAAUUUUGAGAAGAAACUACUUGAGGUGGUGGAAUUAUCAAUGUUGAGUAAACCGGAGACUCAUUCAAAGGCCUUGGUGCAGACCAUGGUGCCACUGUUGAUUGUGAUGCACCUUGUAAAGAUGCAGGACCACCAUUACCAUAUCCAGAUGGGGGAUCAGAUCCUCCUGUAGUUGUAGGAUCAGGGUGGUUAAACCUGCAGUUCGAUGCAUACUUGCAGGAGCCAUUUCGCAUAUAGUACGGACACUCCCUCUCAUCCUGUAACAAGUAAAAAUAAAUAUUCCCAGUAACUGACAGAGACAUAGUAAAUAGGUCCAACAAACCAAGAAAAUAAGCAAAGAUAAAAUCUUAAAAAUCGUGAAUAGAUAUUCAUUUCUCAAAACUUAGCAAGCUAGAUAGAAAAUGUAUACUGGUCGAAUUGGCAGGCCCAGAAAGUUAAGCUCAAGAACUGGAGCUACAGAAGGUUUCUCUCUGCUGUGGCUGUAUCUGCAAUUUUCCCCAUACUUACAUCCACCCGACCUCAAGUAAUACUGCAACAAGCUCAAGUGUUAUCUCAUCAUGAAACUGUUACUAGUCUGCCGUACACAUUGCAGAUAAUUGGAUAUAAGGCACAAAGAGAAGAAUUGUUACUGACAUCCGAAAGCAUAAUUGGAAUUAUUGUAUAAAGGAAUACAAGAAUGUCAUGAAAAAAGCAUACAAUUUAACAACUACCAACUUUCUAUAAUUUAAUCAAACAGAUGACAUGCCUCCCCAUACGAUAUAGACAAAUAAAGUUCCAAAUCUCAGGAUUCUGUAUUAGCUACAAGAUAAAAGUUUUUAGCUAUUUUAUUCGGUUAUUCAUGCCAACCGAAUUUUCAGAUAAGCAGAAUUAGAAAACCCCAUCAUAACAAUGACCACUUGGAUACCAAAUACAUGAACAAAAACAAAAUAUAACGAUUUGUGACACGUUGAUCAAAUAACUGCACUAAAAACCAGAACUUCACAUAUAAAAUUUAUGUAAAUCACAACAAUAAUAACCUUGCAUUCCGUCUGGCUUGGAUUCUCUGCCGACUCGUCCUUAUCCUUGACCCUUUCCUUGGGCACCUUCAAUAUGAACAAGUCAAAACACCAGCAAACCAAAUGUGGGAACCAAUAGCAGAAAUGUUCUAAUCAUACAGCCUAAGCCAAUCAGAAUUCGCCAUCACCAUUUUUAAAACAAAAUCUCAUCCAAAAUGUAUGUAAACAAAAAAAUAAAGACGAAUUUCAGCUACAACCCUAAAAAUGCAAACACAUAAUUGCCUUUGCUGCAGAAUUGCAGCUGAAAUUAACACAGGCUGGGCAAACAUAAACAAAAAGUUUCGAUUUUUAAACCGGAAAAAAAGGAAAUAAAGAGGUAUACCUGGUUGGGUUUCCUUCUAACAGGGUGAUUAAACUUGCAAUUGGAUCCAAAUUUGCAAGACCCGGUCUUUAGAUAAUAUGAACAGUCUUCAGCUUCCGGCCUCACUGGGUACUGAUACCUUCUGUUACUUUCCUGAGUUUCCACCGCCUUCUUCUCCUCCACCCCACCGCCAUCCUCCUCCCACCCCUGAUUUCCUCCCCACCCUUCUCCUCCGUCACUCUGCUCGCUCUGCUCACUCUGCCUCUCAUUUUUCUCUCCAUUUACAAUCUCAAUCUCUUGCUCACCGGAACUCUUCUCUUCUUCCUCCACUCCCUCUCCACCCUCCUCUGCCUUCGAAUCCACCUUCUGCAACUCACCAGCUCCUUCCUCCUCCGCCUUCAAAUCCGAAGGGAAAGCAGGGUCGAAGUUCCCAAUCUCAUCAACGAUGGAAGGAUCGAAGUUCCGAAUCUCAAGGUCGAAUUGCUGAAUCUCAUGGAGGAUGGCAGGGUCGCGAUUCCUAAUCCUAUUGAGCACGGCGGGGUCGAGUGUCCGAAUCCAAUCAAGGAUUUCAGGAACGAGAUCGGACCGCGCAAGUAACGGAACAGACGUCGGAUUUAGGGGAACUUCGACGCCUUCAGAAAAUUCCACCUUCUGCAACUCACCAGCCCCAUCCUCCGCCUUCAAAUCCACCUUCUGCAACUCACCAGCUCCAUCCUCCGCCUUCAAAUCCACCUUCUGCAACUCACCAGCUCCAUCCUCCUCCACCUUCUCUACUGAAUCCAGCUUCUGCACCUCAUCAGGCUCUCCAUCGUCCUCCCCCUCCUCUUUCAAAUCCAGUUUCUGAAGCUCGUCGAGGACCGCAUGAUCGAGACCAGAGGAUGCGAGAGCGGGAUUGGGAGAAGAAGGCAGAAAGCCCUGGUCGGAAUGAGCGUGGUUGGUGCUGGGGGUUUCGGGAUCUGGGGGAACAAGAGAGAUAGCUUCAGAGAUUUCCAUUCUCCCUCCACAUUUCAAAACCCUAACUCUUCUGAGAAGAAAUGAACUGACUCUCCUUGACAGAAAGGGAAAGAGACAGAAACGGGGUUGAUGUGAAAACCGCUUUUUGAGGAUUUUCUUGCCUUUCUGUGCACACGCAACAUCAUCCUUUUAGGUAUUAUAAUAUGAUAAGCGUUAUUUAUAUACUUAUUUUUACUUUUAACAUUCCUCUUUUUAUUUAAUGGUUAAAUCGAAUGAAUUGAUAAAGAUUAUUAGUAAAAAGUUAACGGGUGUGUGGGAUUUGUGAAUAGAAAUAUCCAUAUAAUAAUGGUGAUUGAGACGUUUUUAUUUGGAGUAAUGUUAGAUAAACCAACUUUUUAGAUCAGAUUUGUAUAUUACAUGAUGUGUUAAUUAGUAGAAAAUAAGUACGUUAAUCGACACUCAAAUAAUAAUUCAAUCAUUAACAACCGCGUUAUAUGUUUUAUAAAAUUUGGUUUAAAAAGCUGAGCUCCCUAGUACUAACCUUUUAUUUGAGAGAAGUUUAGAUAGUACAAAUAUAUUUGGAUAGCGACUUCUUGUAUCAAUGAUACAAGAUUGGUGUAAGUUUUACUUUACAAUCAGCACAAAUUGUCACAAUAUUAUAUCGUCAUAAAUUGGUAUGAAACAUCACUGUGAUGAUAUAUCUAUUUUAUAUAAAUUGCUCUCCGCUUCUAAAGUAUGUUAAUAAAAAAAAUACAAAUGCACUGUCUUAUAUUAUUGACUUAAUUAGACAAAUGGUUCUCGUAAUUAUAGGAUAGUUGAAACAUAGCCCAUUUGAUACAAAAUAAAAUUAGAAUUUACACCCUUGUGGUGAAAGACCAUUUGACAAUUUAGUUCAAAAGUGAAACUUGCGUCAGAAUCUGUCAAAAUAAAGGGGUAAACAUGUAUUUUCGUGUCCUUAAACGAACACCUCUCCCCUCUUCUCUAUGUCUUCUGUCUCGCACUUUCUUGUUGCUCAUGGUUAUCCUCAAUACGAAGCCAGCAACCGAACGCAAACAAAAGCAAUCCCAAAUUCAACUGAGAAAAAGAGGGGUAACAUUGAAUCAAGAUGAAAAGGGAGGUUAAGAAUAAGAGAUGAAAUUUGAUAGAUGUUGAAGCUAUAAAAAAAUUACGGAAAAUCGAAGCAAUUGGAUGUCCGACUCGGGCCUAUAUGACAUGACUGAUCAAUAGAAAUACUCUAACACUCCACCUUUGUCAUAUAUUCCAUACAUUCGGAUCUAUUUAGCUAUAGGAUGCGGGUGCACUUUAACGGGACACUCAACGGAAAUCUCAAUUUUGGAUUAAAUUGCUAACAGUAUUCACAACAAAGAUUUAAAUUCUAAUUUUUUAUAGUCUUAUUAUACAAAAUGGUCUCUGAUAUUUGCAUGAUCAAUAGAAAUGACCUCUGAGAUUUAAAACCAAUAGAAAUGGUCCUUGAGAUUGUCUACCAUCCAUGAUUUUGGUUCUUCUGUUAAAAACGCUUUGAACAAUUUUCAAAGCUUUAUAACUUAACCAAAUUCGACCCAUAAUAUAUCAAAAUGAAGAUAUAAAAGU